AACGAGAAAGGGGAGCAAUCCCUGAGUACAGUGGCGUACGGGUGAGUAACACGUGGGUGAUCUGCCUUUUAGUGGGGGAUAUCUCUGGGAAACCGGAGUUAAUACCGCAUAAGCUCGGAAGAGGAAAGCCGAAAGGCGCUGAGAGAGGAGCCCGCGGCCGAUUAGCUAGUUGGUGAGGUAAUGGCUCACCAAGGCCGAGAUCGGUAGCCGGCCUGAGAGGGCACACGGCCACACUGGCACUGAAACACGGGCCAGACUCCUACGGGAGGCAGCAGUGGGGAAUCUUGCACAAUGGGGGCAACCCUGAUGCAGCGACGCCGCGUGAGCGAUGAAGCCCUUCGGGGUGUAAAGCUCUUUCGACGGGAACGAUAAUGACGGUACCCGGAGAAGAAGCUGCGGCUAACUACGUGCCAGCAGCCGCGGUAAUACGUAGGCAGCAAGCGUUGUUCGGAGUUACUGGGCGUAAAGAGUGCGUAGGCGGUUUCGCAAGUUUGGUGUGAAAUCUCCCGGCUUAACUGGGAGGGUGCGCCGAAAACUGCGGGGCUGGAGUGGGGGAGAGGUAAGCGGAAUUCCUGGUGUAGCGGUGAAAUGCGUAGAUAUCAGGAGGAACACCGGCGGUGUAGACGGCUUACUGGACCCUGACUGACGCUGAGGCACGAAAGCGUGGGGAGCAAACAGGAUUAGAUACCCUGGUAGUCCACGCCCUAAACGAUGCACACUUGGUGUGAGCGAUUCAUUUCGUUCGUGCC
rnacentral:rRNA from 1 species